GUAGGUGAACCUGCGGAAGGAUCAUUAACACGUUAAUUCGUUUUAUCGACCCAUUCUUAUUUUCCGUGAUUUAAAACCCGGCCUCCUGACCGAGUCUCGCAAGAGAUUCGUGCCAGGCGUCUUCAGGGCUCAUAGGACCUUCUUGUUGGAACGAUUGUCCGAGCGAAAUGCUCGUCUUUCUAGUACGAUGACCAGGACCUCCUGAAGGCGUUGCCAACCAACCCCAAACCCUUAAAUCUAAUUGAUCUGAACUUUUUAGUUGCUGCCGUUCAUUCGGCCAACGAUUAUAAACAAAACAACAACUCUUAACAACGGAUAUCUUGGUUCUC
rnacentral:misc_RNA from 1 species